GGGGUCAUAGCUCAGUUGGUAGAGCGUCGCGUUCGCAAUGCGAAGGUCUGCNGUUCGAUUCNGCAUGGCUCCACCA
rnacentral:tRNA from 1 species